UACGGAGGAUGCAAGCGUUAUCCGGAUUCAUUGGGUUUAAAGGGUGCGUAGGCGGGCUAUUAAGUCAGUGGUGAAAUCCUGCAGCUUAACUGCAGAACUGCCGUUGAUACUGAUAGUCUUGAGUUUGGUUAAGGUAGGCGGAAUGUGUAAUGUAGCGGUGAAAUGCUUAGAGAUCACACAGAAUAUCGAUUGCGAAGGCAGCUCACAAAGCCAAGAUUGACGCUGAGGCACGAAAGUGUGGGGAUCAAA
rnacentral:rRNA from 1 species